rnacentral:rRNA from 1 species
UGUGGGGGCUAUACUGGCGUUGCUCUACCCGUUCCCAUUCCGAACACGGAAGUAAAAUGCGUCAAGGCCGAUGAUACUAGGUUUUCCUGGGAAAGUAGGUAGCCCCCGUAG